GAUGAAGAACGCAGCGAAAUGCGAUACUUGGUGUGAAUUGCAGAAUCCCGUGAACCAUCGAGUCUUUGAACGCAAGUUGCGCCCGAAGCCAUUAGGCCGAGGGCACGCCUGUCUGGGCGUCACACGUCGUUGCCCCCCCAUCUACUCCUUCGGGAUUGCGGGGGGCGGAUGAUGGCCUCCCGUGCGCCUCGUCGCGCGGUUGGCCUAAAUGCCAAGUCCUCGGCGACGCACGCCACGACAAUCGGUGGUUGCGAAACCUCGGUUGCCUGUCGUGUGCGGUCGUCGCGCAUCGAGGGCUCGAAAAAAUUGCCGGGCUUCGGCUCGACUUUCAACGCGACCCCAGGUCAGGCGGGGUUACCCGCUGAAUUUAAGCAUAUCAAUAAGCGGAGGAU
rnacentral:misc_RNA from 1 species